CGCCCUCUGGGGUGCACGACAGUACGUCCGUCAAAUGCCUUGUCCCUAUUGCACGACUUCGGGGAGUCCGUCACAGGCGCCGUGCAUGAGCAGGUCCGCUUCGCAGCGGAACGCCUUUAACGGCCAUCAGGACUUCCCACCUGAUCCCUGGGAUCAAGGUCGUCUGACGUACAUCGGCACCCACGGAGGGCCC
rnacentral:other from 1 species